AUUGAACGCUGGCGGCAUGCCUUACACAUGCAAGUCGAACGGUAACAGGUCUUCGGAUGCUGACGAGUGGCGAACGGGUGAGUAAUACAUCGGAACGUGCCUAGUAGUGGGGGAUAACUACUCGAAAGAGUGGCUAAUACCGCAUGAGAUCUACGGAUGAAAGCAGAGGAUCGCAAGACCUUGUGCUACUAGAGCGGCCGAUGGCAGAUUAGGUAGUUGGUGGGAUAAGAGCUUACCAAGCCGACGAUCUGUAGCUGGUCUGAGAGGACGAUCAGCCACACUGGGACUGAGACACGGCCCAGACUCCUACGGGAGUCAGCAGUGGGGAAUUUUGGACAAUGGGCGCAAGCCUGAUCCAGCAAUGCCGCGUGCAGGAUGAAGGCCUUCGGGUUGUAAACUGCUUUUGUACGGAACGAAAAGCCCCGGGUUAAUACCCUGGGGUCAUGACGGUACCGUAAGAAUAAGCACCGGCUAACUACGUGCCAGCCGCCGCAGUAA
rnacentral:rRNA from 1 species